rnacentral:rRNA from 1 species
UACGUAGGGUGCAAGCGUUGUCCGGAAUUAUUGGGCGUAAAGAGCUCGUAGGCGGUUUGCUGCGUCGGCUGUGAAAUCCCGAGGCUCAACCUCGGGUCUGCAGUCGAUACGAGCAAACUAGAGUGUUGCAGGGGAGACUGGAAUUCCUGGUGUAGCGGUGAAAUGCGCAGAUAUCAGGAGGAACACCGGUGGCGAAGGCGGGUCUCUGGGCAACAACUGACGCUGAGGAGCGAAAGCGUGGGGAGCAAACAGG